rnacentral:rRNA from 1 species
GAUGAACGCUGGCGGCGUGCCUAAUACAUGCAAGUCGAGCGGUAACAUGUUUCUCACCGAGGUUCGAAGACAAUGGUCAAGUAGCAAUAUUCAAUACUCAAUGAAUGGUCAAUGCAGCUGAUGCAUUGAAUGAUUAAAUCAUUAAUACAUUCAUUGAAAAUUGACACUUGAACAUUGAGCAUUUUCGAUCUUUAGUGAGAAGUGAUGACGAGCGGCGA